UACGGAGGGGGCUAGCGUUGCUCGGAAUUACUGGGCGUAAAGCGCACGUAGGCGGCUUUGCAAGUUAGAGGUGAAAGCCCGGGGCUCAACUCCGGAAUUGCCUUUAAAACUGCAUCGCUAGAAUUGUGGAGAGGUAAGUGGAAUUCCGAGUGUAGAGGUGAAAUUCGUAGAUAUUCGGAAGAACACCAGUGGCGAAGGCGACUUACUGGACACGUAUUGACGCUGAGGUGCGAAAGCGUGGGGAGCAAACAGG
rnacentral:rRNA from 1 species